AAUCUUCGGCAAUGGGCGAAAGCCUGACCGAGCGACGCCGCGUGAAGGAUGAAGGCCCUCGGGUCGUAAACUUCUAAAAGAGGGACGUUAGUGACGGUACCUCUUGAAAAGCACCGGCGAACUCCGUUCAAGCACCCGCGGUAAUACGGAGGGUGCAAGCGUUAUCCGGAAGCACUGGGCCUAAAGGGCACGUAGGCGGUCUGUUCAGUCCAAUGUUAAAGGCUGGGGCUCAACCCCGGCAUGGCGUUGGAUACUGGCAGGCUUGACGGUUGGAGAGGCGAGUGGAAUUACCAGUGUAGCGGUGAAAUGCGUAGAUACUGGUAGGAACACCCAUUGCGAAGGCAGCUCGCUGGACAACACGUGACGCUGAGGCGCGAAAGUGUGGGGAGCAAACCGG
rnacentral:rRNA from 1 species